rnacentral:rRNA from 1 species
AUGAGGAUUCGGUUAGAGCUUGCUAGAUCAAGGUUGUGGGCGUGGGAGACCAACACAGGAAGACCCUUGCUGGUUUCAUGGGAAAUUUGGAAGGAACGAAAUGCAAGAAUUUUUUGCAACACAGCCGCUCCAACAACGAUCCUCGUCAGCAGAAUCAAGGAGGGAGCCCACAUUUGGGUGCUUGCUGGAGCCAAGCAUUUGAGCUUACUUAUGCCGCGAGAGUAG